CACUUGGACAGCCCUGAAUGAGCACAGACAGCUGGUGCAGGUGUGCACAGCCAUGGCCAGGUGUGUCCAGGUGUGCACAGCCAUGGCCAGGUGUAUCCAGGUGUGUCUGCAGCCAUGGCCAGGUGUGCACAGGUGUGUCCAGGUGUGUCUGCAGCCAUGGCCAGGUGUGCACAGCUGUGCCCAGCUGUGUCUGCAGCCAUGGCCAGGUGUGUCCAGCUGUGCACAGCUGUGCACAGGUGUGUCUGCAGCCAUGGCCAGGUGUGCCCAGCUGUGCACAGGUGUGUCUGCAGCCAUGGCCAGGUGUGCCCAGGUGUGCACAGGUGUGUCCAGGUGUGUCUGCAGCCAUGGCCAGGUGUGCCCAGCUGUGCACAGGUGUGUCUGCAGCCAUGGCCAGGUGUGCCCAGCUGUUCUCAGCUGUGCCCAGCUGUGUCUGCAGCCAUGGCCAG